CUGUUGCUGUGGCGACUCCCGGAGGAAUGGAUGGGGCAGCGCUGCCCAGUGCUUCCUCCUGAGACCCAGGCCACAGUCAAGGUAGAGGACUCUCCUGCCAGGUGGCCCGAGGCCUAGGCCUUCUGCAUAAUGGGAGCCGCCUGUGGGGACCAAUGACCACAGCCAGAAUCUUUCUCAUCAAUGCCACCAAGGGGCUCCCUGGGGAGGCAACGCCCCUGCUGCAUCCUCACCACCACACAAGCCCAGAGGGCACCAUUGGCACCUCACCACCCACCUUGGAGCACCUCUGGUGCCUCCUAGCUGUGCUGCACGGCAUCUACCUGGACAGAAGUGCCACGUGUGGCCAGAGGUGACAGACACAGAAAAGCACGGGGAGCGAUGGAGGUUGAGAUGGAGGUGGUAUGUCUACAAGCUAAGGGACACCAGGGACUGUGGCCGCCACCAGGAGCCUGACAGUCUAGCGACUCCUGCUCCAUGCCCCAGAGC